rnacentral:rRNA from 1 species
UACGAAGGGGGCGAGCGUUGUUCGGAUUUACUGGGCGUAAAGGGCGCGUAGGCGGCGCGAGAAGUCGAGUGUGAAAGCCCCGGGCUCAACUGGGGAGGGUCAUUCGAUACUGAUCGACUCGAAGGCAGGAGAGGGUAGUGGAAUUCCCGGUGUAGUGGUGAAAUGCGUAGAUAUCGGGAGGAACACCAGUGGCGAAGGCGACUACCUGGCCUGUUCUUGACGCUGAGGCGCGAAAGCUAGGGGAGCAAACGGG